rnacentral:rRNA from 1 species
UACGGAGGGUGCAAGCGUUAUCCGGAUUCACUGGGUUUAAAGGGUGCGUAGGCGGGCAGGCAAGUCCGUGGUGAAAUCUCUGAGCUUAACUCAGAAACUGCCAUGGAUACUAUUUGUCUUGAAUAUUGUGGAUGUAAGCGGAAUAUGUCAUGUAGCGGUGAAAUGCUUAGAUAUGACAUAGAACACCAAUUGCGAAGGCAGCUUACUACACAGUUAUUGACGCUGAGGCACGAAAGCGUGGGGAUCAAACAGG